UACGUAGGGGGCAAGCGUUGUCCGGAAUCAUUGGGCGUAAAGAGCGUGUAGGCGGUCCGGUAAGUCCGCUGUGAAAGUCGGGGGCUCAACCCUGGGAUGCCGGUCGAUACUGCCGGACUAGAGUUCGGAAGAGGCGAGUGGAAUUCCUGGUGUAGCGGUGAAAUGCGCAGAUAUCGGGAGGAACACCUAUGGCGAAGGCAGCUCGCUGGGACGUUACUGACGCUGAGACGCGAAAGCGUGGGGAGCAAACAGG
rnacentral:rRNA from 1 species